rnacentral:lncRNA from 1 species
CUGGCGACUUGAGCAGAUAGUUCCGGAGUGCUCGGCAGGUGGUUCAGGCAUGUCCGGCAGGUAGUCCUGGCGAGUUGAGCAGGUGGUUCUGGCGUGCACUGCUUGUGGUUCAGGCAGGUCCAGCAGGUGGUUCCGGUCGGUCCUUUAGGUGGUUCCAGCAUGUCCUGCAUGUGGUUCUUGUACAUCUGAGACAUGCUUCUGGCAUGCCCAGCAUGUGAUUCUGCACUGCCCACCACGUGGUUCUUGCGUAGCUGGCAGGUGAUCUUGGUGUGUCCGGCAGGUGGUUCCAGCGAGUCGAGCAGGUGGUUCCGGUCUGUCCGGGAGGUGGUUCCGGGCUGUCCGGCACGUGGUACUGGCACGUCUGAGAAGUGGUUCAGGCAUCCCCGGCAGGUGAUUCUGGAGUGUCCGGCAAAUGGUUCUGGCUUAGCCGGCAGGUGAUUUUGGCGUGUCUGGCAGGUGGUUCUGGAGAUUCAAGCAGGUGGUUCUGGUGUGCUCGGCAGGUGCGCCUGGCGUGUCUGGCAGGUGAUUCCGGUCGGUCCUGUAGGUGGUUACAGCGUGUCCGGCACGUGGUUCUGGCACGGCUGCGAGGUUGUUAUGGCAUGUCCGGCAGGUGGUUCCGGUGGGUCCGGCAGGUGGUUCCGGUCUGUCUGGAAGGCGCAUCUGGCAUGUUCGGCACGUGGUUCUGGCACGUCUGAGACGUGGUUCCGGAAUGUCCGGCAGGUGAUUCCAGAGUGUCUGGCACGUGGUUCUGGUGUAGCCGGCAGGUGAUUUUGGCGUGUCCUGCAGGUGGUUCCGGUGAGUCGAGCAGGUGAUUCCAGCAUGCUCAGCAGGUGGUUCAGGCGUGUCUGGCAGGUGGUUCCGGGAGGUCUGGGUGGUGGUUUUGGUGUGUCCAGCACAU